rnacentral:sRNA from 1 species
CUGGGAGCUACUGUUGUCAGGCAAGAACAGAUACCGGAAUUUUGAGUCAAAUGGAACGACGCUGAAGCUGCGCACACCAAGAAGCCGCUGUUUCCGCGACGACGAAGUGUCUUGGACAGCUGCGACCUGGUUUGGUGUGAGGUGACGGCAGAUCCAGUCGGCGAGCAGAGAGUCCUCCACGGUGCCCUUGGCAUAGCUCUGAAGCAGCUUUGGGACGAUGAGCUUCCCGCUGUCGUUGAUACCAACCGAUGCUCGGAUGUAGUCUCUCAUUGAUUCCUGAAGCUCCUGCCGAACAUUCCCGGCUGAGAAAAUCCUGACCUCAGGUGAUGAGAACAUUCCACAGCUAAGGCCAAACAACACAAGGGGCUCUGCAUCAUCGAUCGAAUAUUUCUUGUGCUCCUCGGUAACUCUGAACUUGUGAAGGGCCAACAUCAACGAAAGUUGUGGCCGGUGUACUGGAGUCUUCAUCUUCAGAAUCACAAACUCUAUUUCUGCUGCGCUGAAGGACUGCCCACCAACAAUGUAACAGGCCUGCAAUACCAACGGAUAAUACUUGCAUGCAUUUUUAUUUGAACAGAUACUUACAUGCAUUAUCAACGUAUUGUACAGGUUAAUCCAAAAUGCUAACCGCUCAGCACAGGUCAUACAUGUAGGGUCAACCUUUGAUAAGUUUAAUAAGGAAACCUGAAAUUUUUUAGAGCUUCAGAUGCAUAUGCAAGCUGUUCCUUGCCAACAUACAUCCAAGACACCUCAGCUACUGAACAAUAGUUCCCAAUGUCUCUUCGAACUUCCUUGCCAUUAACGUUGUAGGGAUCGAAGUAUCUAACUUCAUCAAUACUGUCAUGGUUUGAAUCAACUGAAGGGCUUUGCAUCACUGAUGCCAUCAAGGAUGAAUCUGAUACAGAUGUCAAUGUACAGCCAGAUAGACGUUCUGUUGAUGAAAUUGAAUUAACAGAAGACCCUUUUGGUGAUAUCUCGGAUGAUGAGUCAGAUAAACGAAGGAAGAUAUCUCUCAUACAGCGCACCAUUUCUUCAGAGAGCUUAUUUGGAUUGCCAUUCCACACAUUACCAUUGAUGCUGCUUUUCCUCUGAUGAGAUUGGUCAAAUGAUAACGCAUCUAUUAUCUGAUAUUCUCUGCCUCCAUUUUCCAUAGGAUAGGACUCUUGCAUCUCUUCGUUCCAGUGUUUUUCCAACAAUCUAUUUGAAGGAACAUCUUGAUGCUCUUCGAGAAGCCCAUCUUGAGAUACUAUCUCUCUCCCUUCACUCUCUUUUUGAAUGUUCUGUUGGUCCUCAAGCCCAGGGAAUAAAUUUUCUUGCAUUGAUUCAGAUUCUCCGAGCUUUAUAUCUCUUAGUGUUGAAAUGUCCUUCAAAAGUUCAGAAAAGGGAAAAAAAACGGUUGCUAGAGUUUCUAAGUAUCUGGAAUUAUUUUCUGCAAGUCGCGUAUUGUUCCUUAAAUGACACAGUUGGUAACAUAAGUCAUUUAGGUCUUUUUCAAGUUUUGAGACAGUAUUCUCCAAGGAGGCUAUGCUAAUUAUUAGCUCCUGUGCCUGCACGUGAAAUAUUGAAGUAGAAAAUAUAUUAAAGAUAUCAGUGUAGCAUUAUUUGUGAUGGCAUCUGUUAAUGCCAACUGCAAGUCAAUCUCUUCUUCCAGUUGCCUCUGCACACUCACUUCUUGCUCGAGCUCCGAUCUGUACCGCCGCAUCCUUACCCUUCUGCUUCCAUCCCUCUUGCCAGUGCCAUUGCUACUAUCAUCC